GGGCCCGCACAAGCGGUGGAGCAUGUGGUUUAAUUCGAUGAUACGCGAGGAACCUUACCAGGGCUUAAAUGUAGAACGACCGAUUUGGAAACAAGUCUUCUCUUUGAGCGGUCUACAAGGUGCUGCAUGGUUGUCGUCAGCUCGUGCCGUGAGGUGUCGGGUUAAGUCCCUUAACGAGCGCAACCCCUAUCUCUAGUUGCCAGCGGAUAAUGCCGGGGACUCUAGAGAAACUGCCCGUGCAAACGGUGAGGAAGGUGGGGAUGACGUCAAAUCAUCACGGCCCUUACGUCCUGGGCUACACACGUGCUACAAUGGUCGGUACAGAGGGCAGCUACCACGUGAGUGGAUGCAAAUCUCGAAAGCCGAUCUCAGUUCGGAUUGAAGUCUGCAACUCGACUUCAUGAAGCUGGAAUCGCUAGUAAUCG
rnacentral:rRNA from 1 species